rnacentral:rRNA from 1 species
GACGAACGCUGGCGGCGCGCUUAACACAUGCAAGUCGAACGGAAAGGCCUGCUUUCCCUUGUGGAUUGCGGGUACUCGAGUGGCGAACGGGUGAGUAACACGUGAGUGAUCUGCCCCCAACUUGGGUAUAAGCCUGGGAAACUGGGUCUAAUUCCCGAUAGGACUGCAGGGUGGUGCCUGUGGUGGAAAACGAUUUUCUAGUGGUUGGGGAUGAGCUCGCGGCCUAUCAGCUUGUUGGUGGGGUAAUGGCCUACCAAGGCGGCGACGGGUAGCCGGCCUGAGAGGGUGGACGGCCACAUUGGGACUGAGAUACGGCCCAGACUCCUACGGGAGGCAGCAGUGGGGAAUAUUGCACAACGGGCGGAAGCCUGAUGCAGCGACGCCGCGGGGGGGAUGACGGCCUUCGGGUUGUAAACUCCUUUCGACCGCGAGGAAGCCACCUGGUUGGAAGGGUGGUGACGGUAGUGGUAGAAGAAGCACCGGCUAACUACGUG